rnacentral:sRNA from 1 species
AUAAUAUAAUUUUGGAAUUAAAUAAGCCGAAAAUAGGAUUGCCUCCGACGUACAGGAUAUUUGUAAAAUUUUUGCCGUUCGAAAAAGAAAUAAUCGACAAAUUGCUGCGUAUUGGGUUUAUCGAACCCUAUAUGCAGGCCGACCCAGCGCCUAUCCUGUUCGUAUUUAAACUAUAUUCCAAAAAACGCCGUUUCCGCACCGAUUACCGAUGGAUUAACCAAUUUUUGAAAAAUCGAUUCGUACCAACCCCGGAUAUUAACGGAAUUAUUUUUAAUUGUCGCAAUAUAAAAAAAUUUACGAAAAUCGAUAUUAUCCGAACUUUUAACCGGUUACGUAUAACUGUUAAUUUAAAAUAUUUUAUUAUUUUCCGCACCCGUUAAAAUAUUUUUCAAUAAAAAAUGCUUUUUUUUGGGCUAAAAAUCGACCCAAUUUGGUAACAAUCUUUUAUUAACGUUUAAUUAAAUAAAUUUUUGGAUUUAUUUACCAGCGCAUACGCCGACGAUAUUUUAAUUUAUUCCGACGGAAACGAAAAAAAAUAUUGGAACCAAAUAAAAAAAAUUAUUUACCGAUUAAACAGGGUCGAUUUCCAGGAAAAUAUUAAAAAAUUUCGAUUUAACGUUACCACGGUCGAUUAUUUUGGUAUCGUUAUAAAAACAGGUUUGGAUAUCCGUAUCGAUCCGGACAAAUUACAAGCCAUUAACGAUUGGAAAUUUAAAAACCUUACGUCCAAAAUAACCGUACGUUCCUCUUUGGAAUUAUAUAAUUAUAUCCAAAUAUUUUACCACCAUAUUAACAACGUCGCUAAACCGUUAAACCGAUUGUUAAAAAAAAAACGCCAAAUUUAUUAUGGGAUUAAAACAAAGGCAAACAUUUGAAAAAAUAAAACGUUUAACCUGCGAUACACCGGUUAUAAUAUUUUUUACCCCAGGCCGACCGACCAAAAUAAAAACCGACGUUUUACGCAACGCGACCGGCGGAAUAAUUUGGUAAUAGCAACCGGGUGGAAAAUGGAAAUCUGUAGGAUAUUUUUCAAAAACGAUAACCCCAAAAAAACGCGCAUACCCGAUUUAUAACCGAAAACUGCUGGUAAUAAUUUAAACGCUGGAAUAUUAUAAACCAAAAUUAUUGGGGACAAAUUUUUUCGUGGUUACAAACCACCAAACUUUAAUUUACUAUUCCACAAAACGACUCCUUUCGACUCGACAAAUACGUUGGGCAUAUUACGGCCCGGGGUAAACAUAGCACGGAAACUAGUUUAUUGGCAUUUAUCGACGAAGAUUUUAUUUUGAAAAAAGGAAAAAAAACAAACAAAAUUUUAAAUUUGACGCGACGUCGAUAAAAAUAUUAUUUUAGUAGAUCGUUAGUUAGGGGUUAUAAUUAAAGUUUGGUAAUUUUAUGGUCCAAAUAUUAUAUUACCCCUUUCCAAACCUCGUAUAUCGACGCAGGUAAUUAUGCGAAAUUUUUGUCAAAUUACCCAUAUCGUCGCUUUUUUUUUUUACCGUUUAAUUUUCCAUAUUUUGCCACAUUAUCGUUUUAAUUCGGUUCGUCCAAUUUACUUUCGGUAACGGCUUUUAUCCAAAUUACCAAUCGCUUCGGCGGUCUUGCGGCAUUUUUAUAUUUUUUAUGGAAUUCGUUAAAAAUUGUCGCUAAAUUUUUGAAAUUUUUAGCCGGGUACCCCGUAUCGUUUGGAUUAUAUUUUUACCAUGCGACCUGGUAUUGCAAUAUUUUAUUCCGGCCAAAUAAUCGGGACGUUAAAAUUUUAUCGACCACAAAUUUCAAUUUUCCGUUAAUUUUUUUUGGCGGAGGCGGUUUUUUUUUUGUUAUAAUAAUGGGUCCAUUGCGGUUUUGCGGAAACGGUUUGCGUAAAACAAAUUUUUUUUUUUAAAUAAUUUAAAUACGUCCAAAAUAUAAUUAUAUUUUCGUUUUUUUAAAAUCUGCUAUGGUCCGGUCCAUUGUAAAUCCAAUUUGGUCGUCGGUGCGGUCGUCGGAAACCUUUUUUUUUUAACGAAAAUAUAAUUGUUAACCCCAAAAUUUACUGGUCGCCGUUUUUUGUUAAUUUGUUUUUUUUAUUUCGCCUGCGUUUUUAGCGCGUUUUGGCGAAUUAAUUUUUGGAUUUUUUUAAUUUGGCGGAUAAUCUGCAGGGUUUUUUGUUUUUGGUUUAAAUUAACGGUCGUGGUUGGCAGGUCGGUGGACAGCGGGUUUCGGGGUUCGGUCCCGAAUAUUAUUUUUAACGGGUAUAUACCAAGGUUGGAAUACCACGCGGCGUUAUGGGCAAAAUCCAAAAUAGGCAAAUGUACGCUCCAAUUGGUCUGGUAUUUGUCGAUAUAAAACCGUAAUUUUUGGUCCAAUUUUUGGUUGGUAAUCUUUACAGCAUAUUAUAUUUAAAAGUGCAGGGCGUUGCCGUAUUGGGAUUUAAUACCCGUAAAUUUAUUUAUCGUCGUUAUAAAUUCGGAAAUAAACGGUCCGGCGUUAUCGCUAAUCCAAACGAAAAAUAAUCCUAGGAAACGGUAUAAGUAUCGGUAAUAUCAGGAAAUUAGGAUUUCUGCUGUAUCGGUCUUUUGUCCUGGAAUAAUAAUUAUUAGGCGAUUAAAUUUGCAAACGAACACCCAUACGUAAUUAUAUCCGAAUUUGUUUUUGGGUAUAUCUUUUCCGUUAAUUGCUAUAUAUUCCCAAACGUAAUUCGGUAUCGGUAGCGGAUAUAAUAGGCCCGGGGUUUUGUCGUAUUUGCUUUUAUUUCGUUCGUAAUCGUGAUAAUUUUUAAUAUAUUUCCGAAUAAUUUAAUUUAUACCCUCCCAAAAAUAUUGUUUUUUAAUUGUUUAUUAUUAUAGGGUAGGCCAACGAUUAUACAACGGUUGGGUACCCGAAAGGAAUUAUUAUUAU